rnacentral:lncRNA from 1 species
UUCUCUUUUUUUCUUUUUGCAUUUCUUUUGAAAAAUAAACAUGCUAUGGUGCACAUGAUGCAGACGUGACUGGCAAGUUGUGCAUCUCUGAACAUAGGAUCGAAGCUUCGGCUCGAACUCUGAUCACAAUCAUCUGAAACCCAAAGUCAACUGAUCAACUGUCAUCUGAACCCAAUCUGAGAAACUGAGUCACUAACAGAACCCUG